GUGUUCUCAAGCUUAAAAAAAAAAAAAAAAAAAUCUGAUUUUUAUCCCUCACCAGGUUCUUAGAAACUUUUGAUAGCUGUUUUAUUAAGAAAAGUUGCAGAGGUACUAUAGUAAUUAUAAGAGGUUAUAAGGAUUAGUGUUCUCCAAAUUAAUGUUGUACAUGACACCUACUUAAAGGAUAAUAUUCUGAGAUAUAGAGAUAUUUUAAGACAUUCUCUCAGAGAUUGGGGGGUUCUACUUAAAUUGUUAGGAUGAAUCAGCUAGUCUAUAUUCUGGGAAAUUACAAUAAUCAAUAAAAAGUAUCUAAUUUUCAUAUCUAGCCUCAACUACUAUCAUCAAAGAAGGGCUUAAAAAAUUGAAAGAUUGAAGGAACCUCUAAAACUUAAUAUAGACCAAAACAAAUUGAGAGAGAUUUUUUAAAAGGUCCAAAUAAAUGUACUGUAGGGUUUCAGAAUGUAUGCCAGAUGUCUAAUCUUACCUAGAGAAAUAUGCUAGUACUUGGCUAAACAAUGAAAAGAAGGCCAUCUUAAAAACAGUUUUAAAGGAGAUUUAUCUUAACCAUGUUCCACUAACACAGAAUAGGGACAAGCCUGACAGUUUGGAGCAGACAGUUCUCCAGGAUAGAUUGGUAUCUAACAGAUAAACAAAAUGCCUGAAAUAUAAUUUUAGGGGCUGGGACUGUAGCUCAAUGGUAGAGUGCCUGCCUCACACAUGUGAGGCACUGGGUUCAGUCUUCGGCAACACAUAAAAAUAGAAAUAUUUUGUGUGCAACUACAACUAAAAAAAAAAUUUUAAAGAGUUUUUAAAAAAUCAUAAUUUUAGUAAGUCUUUAGAAAAAUUUACUAUUUUUCAUAGAGAGACUUUAAAAAGAUAAUACAGUACCUUCAACUUAUAGGGGGCCACCCAUUUGAAAAGAUGUGUUUAUCUCCAGUUAGUCCUAGAUAUUCCAAGGGAUUUACAAAGGUUAACAUAAUUCUAGCCAAGUUUAGAUGUUACAGCAUAGUUAAAUGCAGCCCAAAUGAAGAAACAGAAAGACAAAUGCAGAGAUUAAAAUGGUAGUCAUAGCUCCAAGAGAAAUAAAUUUCCUGGGUAAAAUGUUUGCUCCUAAGUUACAGAUUUUGAAACCCCCUUAACAUUAAAACAGGGCCUUACUUCAAGCACCUGGCAACAGUUUAUUACUGAAAAAGAAAGGAAAAAAAAAAGUCUGAAAAUAAUUAUGCCUAAAAUAUUAGACAAACAGCCAUAAAUAAAUCAGCUCAAUAGUCAAUAGCAUAUUUCAAUAAAAAAGCUAACAUAAUAGACCUUUUCUCAACUAUAAUAAUAUCUGACAAUGUCCUACAUACAUUGAUAUUUUAAAAUUAAUAAAACCAUAAUUAUACAUAAUUAUUAGCUAAUUUUACUACAUUAAAUAAGGUAUUAAGGGUGUUCAUACAACUGUUUUUUUUUAAUGCACAAAGAUUAUUUGUAAUAGAUCCCUAAAAAUGUUAUUGCUAGCUCAAUGUCAUAAAUUCUAAAUUAGAUCACUGUCUUAAACCACAUUGUGGACUUGUUUUUACCCAUUAACAUUUGAGAUACUAAUUCCCCCUACUUAGGUCAGCACUAAGUUGAUAACCAUAAUGCCAGUUUUUCAUGGAUUCAUAGAUAAAAGACUGUUCAUUUCUCUAUUUCAUUCUUUAUUAAUUGUAAUAAACAAAAUAUCUUCUCUAGGCUUUUUUAACAUAUGUACUUCCUAUUUUGGAUAGAUGUCUAUAUAUUUCUCAUGUCCCUAGUAAAGACCACCAAUACUACAUUAAUAUCUCUUGUCUCUUGCUUCUUUCCAAAUUAAGAUAAAUAUUUAAGUUAAUCUAGAGCUAAUUUCAGCCUGCAAAUAUUUAUAUACAACUUAUUGUAUUCUUUAUUUUUGGUAAUUCUGUUAAAGUCAAAAUCAAGUCAUACAUUUAGUAAAGGGUAAGUUUCUAUUUACCUUGUUCCCAUUAAAUAACUUCUGUCAAGUUUCACAACCACCUAGAGAUAAUAAAUCUUUUCUUAUUAUUUAAAUACUUGUACUACAUUAAACAUUGCCUGUAUAACUUAAAACUAAUGAUACUAUGGCUUAUGCCAAGCCUCUACUCAAUUUUUAUUAAAUAAAAAGAUGGGAAAAGAGAACCCCAUGGCACAUAAUAGAUGUUACAAAAUAUUUUUUAAAUUUUUCUUAAUUGUGAUAUUGGGAGUCUUACUUCUUCUGAACAUGAUUAGUAAGUUAAAUCAAAUUUCAAAAGAGUUUAAACUGGUCAUUGUGGAAAGGUUGAAAAACCUCACACAGGAAGAUAAAUUUCCAGCUGCAUAGUUUACAGCCAUGCAGCUUCAUGGGCUUGUCAGGUAAGUAAAAAUUAUGAACAAACAUCCAUGGACCCAUUUCUCAAGUCCACCCUCAAAGAAAAAUACACACACACACACACACACACACACAUUGUAGUUGGACACAAUACUUUUAUUUUAUUUAUCUUUGUGUGGUGCUAAGAAUUGAACCCAGUGCCUUGUACAUGCUAAGCAAGUGCUCUACCACUGACCCACAAACACAGCCCCUCAGGUCCACCUUUGAUGUUCCUUGCAGUGAAGACUGGAAAGUCUAGGCAUGCAACUAUAUGAAUUUUACUGAUUGUAAUCGUCAGUUAUAGCUAUAUGUUGAUCUUAUGGUAAUCAGGCUGUCUGGCAGUAUCUUUUGAGAAAAAGACAGUAUAUGAUAACCCUAAACAAGCCAAUUAUGCUGAUCCUUACAAAUUAAGACUCUCUCUCUCUCUCUCUCUCUCUCUCUCUAUAUAUAUAUAUAUAUAUAUAUAUAUAUAUAUAAUUGUCAAAAUAGAAAGAUAGUUGAAAUAGAAAUUUUCUAUAUAGGCCAGUUAUUUACAUAAAAUAUCCAACAAUGUAUUAUUGCCCUAAUAAUUCUGUAAUAGAAAUUGGCACAUUUUCUAAAUGGAUAGGUUUGGCCUAUGUAUUGUCAAUAUAACAUAAGGUGUCUAGAAAUGGUCUCCUACAAUGACAUGAAGAUGACAUAACUCUUAGAAACCUGAAUUUUCAGUGAGACAGCACUCAAAAGGAUGUUUUGAUGUUUGACUUCUACCUUCAGAGUGUUUACAUUACUGACAGAACUAAAAGACUCCUUAAAUGUGAGAAUUGGAAAGAUGGUUAAAUAACCAUCUGUAACCUAUAAAAGGUACAACUUGCCUAAUUGUAUCACUUUUUAUAGUAGGAUGAAAAGGACAUUGAUCCUCAUCAAUGUCUCUUUGUCCUGUUGCCAGCUAGCAUGCUGAAGUUAAAAUUCAGGCCUUGAAACAGGUGCAUGCCAAUUAACCAGACCUAGGCAAGUUCUUAAUCUCAUGAUCAAUGAAGUGACUACUUAAAAUAUUCAUUGUUCCUAUACUACAUCUUCUGUGGCUAUGUUUUAAAACUUAUAACAUGUAAAUUUUCUUAAUAAUUUGACUUAAAUUACUUCCAAGAACCUUCAUAGUCAGGUAAGUGCUAAUGGAAGGAUUGAAACUAAGUUAAAUGUUCUAGAAGCCACUGUAAUGAGUAAUGCAAAUGACCCCUCUGCUCUAGGAUUUGCGGGAAGGCUUAAAUGCUAUGCCAAAUAAAAAUGUCUGUGUUACUAUGGCCAAACAGAAUGCUUCCAAAUAAAAUUGGGAAAAGAUUAAAAAUUUUCUGAUGAGUUUUUGGCAGAGUAAUCAUAAUAACCUGGAUCUUCCAAAGCUAAUUAAAUGACCUUAAUCCUAAAUAUGCUGAAACAUUCUAUAUAGUAUAUUAUUGAGAUGAUAUGUUUUCUACUAAUUUUAUUUAUAUCUCAAGAGUAGGUCAUGGUCUUCUCAGAACAAGAGUCUAGUGAUUACAACAUAAAUUCCCAGUUGCCUUUUUUUUUUUUAAUUUUAAGAAAAGGGAAAUAUGUCAGGAGCUGCCCUGGAUACAAGAUCCCUUUCAGUCCUGAUGCACCAGGUUCUGAACAUAUUGUCUUUAGUCUGGCACAGUAGUGCCAGGUCACAGUAAUUUGGGUAUUACCCUAGCUCGGAAAACAAGGUGUGGCUCCAGAAUUAGGUGUUAUCCAUUGAGGUUGAGUUGCACUCAUCUGUUCCUUUAUAAUCUUACUCCUUUGCCAUUUGGGGGAUAGAAUGUUUUGUGGAAUCUUCCCUUGUAUGUCUCCUAUAUAAGAAUAAACAAUUUCAGUGCCUCUCUCUCUUCCCAUGAACCUUUAAGGUCAGAGAGCCAUCACAGAUUUUGAGAUGGUACUUUUGUGUGUUUGUAUGCUUUCUUUGUUGGUUUCUUAAUUUUUUAAUAGUCAGAUUUUGUGAAGCCAGCAUUAGGUCACCAGCUAGGACUGAUGGUGAUAACAGACAUUUUAGAUCUAAAAAGAUAUUUAUUACAAAUCUAAAAUUACAUCUUUGUUGUUAUUUUUUUAUUUGUCAAGUUGCACUUUUCUUCUUUCUUCUCUCAUGAAAUGAUCACAUAGAGAAAGCAAAAUCUUUAGGAACUGCCAUCCAGUUCUUGGAGAAAAGUUAGAAAUACUGCAACCAUUUAAAAAUGUAACAUGGGGAAAAAUAGUUGAUAAAGCAAAGAGGUAAUUCUGGUAUUCAGAAUAUGAAUAGAGCCAGGUGCAGUGACCAUACCUGAAAUCCCAUUGUCUUGGGAGGCUGAGGCUGGAGGAUAAUGAUUCAAAGCCAGCCUCAGCAAGGGUGAGGGGCUAAGCAACUCCGUGAGACCCUGCCUCUAAAUGAAAUAUAAAUAAGGUUGGGAAUGUGGCUCAGAGUUUGAGUGCCCAUGAAUUCAAUUUCUGGUACACCCCUCAAAAAAAAAGUGAAUAUAAACAGAAACCUGGAGAUGUAGGAAUUCAUUCUGAGACUGAAGGGCUGCCAUAUUAAUAUAUUUAUAGAUCUAAUUUUCAACCAAAAAUAUCAAAAAGUUGUACGAAGAAACUGGACAUGUGGUACAUUCAAAGGCUGAAUAAACAAUAAACCAAUAGAAUCCAUCUCUCAGGAAUGGCACUCCCCAAUCAUAAAAUAUUCCUGCUGCAGCCCCAAAACAUGAUAGCAACCACAUGGCUUGUACUUUAAAGAUGGGGGCGUGGUUUGUAUGUGAUUUUAUGGCAGCAUUAAGGCACAUAAGGAUUUUAAAUGUUCCAGGACAAUAGUGGCCCAAACAAAGAACAUUUUUUUUUUUUUAGUGUCCUUUUACUUUUGAAAGAAAAUGAUGGGCUUUGUUCAAAGAUAAUUCUCUUCAUUUCCCAUGUAUGCAAACAUAGGAGAAUGAAUUUGCUGUUUUUGUUAUGGACUGUUGGUUCAAGGUGGUUUAUGCUAAUGAAGAGCCUUGGAUAACAUCAACUUUAAGAAAACAUUUUAGUGCAGAGGGAUUUGAGACUUCAGCAAGGGAAGAACAACACCCAACACAUCAAAGGUUUUGGAGAUCCAAGGAAAAUACUGUGCCUGAAGUCUUCAACCUACAUGGAGAGAGGCCCUUAAAGCCAAUUGUACAGACUUCAAAAGAGAAGUGAUGGAUGGGCCAUUGAGGGGUUUCAUUAAUCAUUCCAUGCUUCAUCCAUGAUGAAUAUUGAUUGCCAACAUCCUGGAUAAUUCUUUUCUGAAAUACAUCAUCAUGACUUAAAGCUAAAGCCAACUCUAAACUUGCCCCCCCCCACCUUUUUUUUAACCGUAGAUUGAACUCAGGGGUACUUAGCCUCUGAACAACACACCAAACUCUAUUUUGUAUUUUACUUAAACAGUGUCUCACUGAGUUUCUUGGGGCCUCACUGAGUUGCUGAGCCUGUGUUCAAAUUCAUGAUCCUUCUGCCUCAGCCUCCUGAGUUGUGGGGAUUACAGGUGUGAACCACUGUGCCCAGGAAAUUUGUUGCAUUCUUAUGACCAUGUCACAGUCAUUGUGCCCUGUAAUGUAUCACUGCCUUAUCUCCAGAUUGUGCUUGUAGGAUUGGUAAAAGGUCUAGGUUCUGUGUGUUCAUAUUGACAUUGGGACAGCUGUGCCCCAAACUUUAUUGUUUAAAAAUACAGAAUAAGAAUGUAGAUCAAAGUGAAAUAAAAUAUGAUGUGAGGAAGCUGAAAUCAGAAUCAUGGAGGGAGUAUGGAAUUGGGACCUCCUACUCAAGAGGCAAGAGUCUUCUCAUCUCACUUGAAUAUAGCAGAAAGGCUUGUGUAUUAGCCUGUUGUCUUCUUCUAUGACAAAACCCAGGAGACUGGGUACUUUACAGAAAGAAGAACAUUAUUUCAUAGUUUUGAGCCCUCACAAGUAUGCCACCCACAUGGGCUCAAUUCCUGAGUGGCCCUGUGCUGUCAUAAGGGGGUGACUGGCAUCAUUGUAGAAAUGUAUGUGAGAGAAAUCACAUGUGAGUUUGGAAGGUAAAGAGUAGACUAGGGGAAGUUCUGUCUUUUAUAACACCCCUUUCAGAAUUAGCCAGGGGCCCAAAAGAAUUAUCUUGAUCACUUCAAUUGGCAAACUUCUCAAAGGCCUGUCACCUCCAACAGGCCUUGCCUCAUAAGGGCCCCAUCACCUCUUAACACUGCAACACUGGACAUCAGGCUUCCAAUAGAAAAACCUUGGGAGACACACCACAUCCAAUGGGAAGGUAAUGCAUUUCUAUAACAGGGUCAACACUUUCAAAAUUUUAUGAAAAUGGACAUAAAGGCAUAGGCAGCAGUGAACUCAACCCAGAAAAGAAAGAACUAGAAAUUCCUUUGCAGAAAACCUAAAGACCAACCUCAGCAUAGACUAAAUUUGCUUCAUACAACUAUUUCUGAUAAACAUAGCAUACUGGUACUCAGGAGAAUGGGAAGUCACUAGACAUAUGCAGGGGGAGAAAUAAGGUUGUAGGUUUAGACUGCAAACAGGGGACAACAUACCCAGGCAGAAACCAUGGAGAAACUUUCUUGUGAUAGAAAGUCUUGUGACAGCUUAAUCCCAGCUCUGGGAUUUGAGUGCUUCUUCAAACAUUCCUACUAUUAGAGAUUUCUCUCCCUAUGCAUUUUUUUAUUCCUGCCUUCAGGUCACAUAUGACUCCCUGGGCAUAUGGAGCUGCCUAGGGUACUGCUCAAACAUUCACAUUUUGAGAAUAGUCAAGUUGGCACAUAAACUUGGGAAGACUUGACUUUCCUGGAGACAUCAAUUUCGUAGAAAUUGGCUCCACAUGAAAUCCAUAUAAAAAUCUACCUACCCAUGGCUGUAGGUAAAAACACACCAAAUAGUAAAUACUCAGGGUGAACAAUUCAGAAAAUCUUGUAUAUGAUAUAUUGACUAUGUUAAAGGUACUGUAUUCCAGUUAGGAGUUUUGUUGCAUGAUUAGAUCAUGACUGUUCUUGACAUGGGGGAAUAUAUGUAUCUAUUUGAGAUAAGAGAUAAAUGAGUUUGUUGUUCAAUUCUAGUGACAAUUUCACUCUAUCUUAUGGUAUUGUUUUGUUUACCUUAAAAUGCACAGUAAAAUUUGUUUUCAAAAAUUUGGUCAAGUACUUGAGUAAAUAUAUUUUCAAAAAAGACAAAGUGCUCAGUAGAUAUAUUAAAUAUGCUCAUAGUGACACUAAUCAGUAAAAUGCUCAAAAAUAUGAGGAGAUAUUACCUCACUAUUUUGGGCGGGUUAAUAUUAAAAAUACCAGAGAUAACAAGUAUUGGCAGUAAUAUGGAGCAAAGAGAACCUUGGGCAGGUUAUUUGUGAGAUUAUGUAAAUCGACACACCCACCAUGGAAAACUACAUAAAGGUGCCUUGGAAAAUUGAGAGUAAAACUUACACGUGAUACAGCAAUCCCCCUCCCUGGAAUGCAUCUAAAAGAAAAUAAUUUAUCUCUCACAGAGACAUCUGCAUCUCCAUGUUUCUUGCAGUACUGUUCACAACAAGCAAGACAGAAGCAAGGAAAGACAUAGCGUCCACCAGUGGAUGACUGUGUGUAGGUGAUGUGGAAUGUCCACUAACGUUCAAUGGAAUGUUAUUGAGCCUUCUAAAUAGGUAAAUUUUGUCCCUGUGCUGAUGUAAGUGAACACUGAGGACAGUAUUGUGACAUAAAUCAGACAAGAUUACAGUUUGAUCUCUCUUAUGUGACAUCUAAUAAAUCAACUUCAUAGAAAUAGAGUGGAAUGGUGGUUGUAAAGAGGUGGGUAGUGAGGGACACAGGGAGGUUGUUUAAAGUGCACAAAAUUCCAUUCUAACAUCGAUAAAUUUGGGGGAUCUGCUGUAUAACAUGGAGAAUGAAGUUAAUAAUACAUUUUUGUAUACUUGAUAUUUGCUGUGAGAUCUUAAAUAUCCUCACCACACAUACAUCUUAAGUGAUAGAUAUGUUAAUUAAGAGGCUCUGGUAAGCAGUUUACAAUAUCUACUUAUGAAAGCUCCAUGUGUUGUACACCAUGUAUGUGUACAAAUGUAUUUGUCGGUCACACCUCAGCAGAGCAGGACUGAGUCUGCACAUACCCUAUUUUCAAGCAUGCUUGGUUCUUCAUUCUGAGCUGCAGCCUUCACACUGAACUUCCACCCAUCCCUCACAGCCAUGAAGACAGUCCACAUCCCAACUCUCACAUGCACAACUGUGUCCUGACAUUUAAUGUUCAUUUUUCUGUGGUGCCUAUCCUAGGGACCUCAGAACUGUCCUUCUUCCUCCCAUUACCCCAAGACCCAUUAUCAGUUCUCUUCUUUUUUAUUUGCUUUCAAUUCCAUUACCUCAGUCCAUCCCCAUAGCUCCUGGGUCCUACACAACCAAAUGUCCAAGAUCAAACUCCAAACUGAUUGUCACCAACCCCACCAUCCUCCACCUUUCUUCUGGUUGCAUGCCUCUUUAUAUCACUUCUUUCCUGUGUGCCUGGUUUUAAAUCAAGACACUUUUCCUUUUUUCCACUGGUAUUGUUUUGUGUCCUUUAGUUAUACCACAUGGUUGUAAAGACUCAUACUUAGUCUUAAUAUCUAGAAGUGUACAUCUUUUAGUUUGCUUUUCCUGGUGUUUCUCUUGCACUUUGGGCCAUCACGGCCUCCUUAGCUCUCUACCUACUUUGUCUCCCCCCCCCCCCAAUACUCUUGUCAUUUGUCUCUUCCAAGAAACAUUGUGUCUCUCUAGAUACACCUCUUUGUCAUAUUCUGGGCCUGUUUUGGACAAGUACUUAAUCCAAGACCUGAUACCCCAGCUUUAUUCACAACUUCUCACCACACGUAUGUAUGAAUGCCUCUGAGGCAUUGAAUCUUCUACAAUUUUUUCAAUCCGGUGAGCUUCAACAUUUUUCAUGUUCACUCUUCAUCCUCAGGACCACCUCAAUUCCUGUGAAACCAUGUACCCCAUGUAUCUUGUACCUUCUGGGCCCUAUGUCUUUAUGUUCCUUGGCUUUUUACCCAUGUGUGCCUUCACCUAGUCAUGCCAAUGAGCUUUUCCUGGAUACUUAAUGAACUUUGUCUGUGUCCUCUACAUUAUAGGAUUUGCACAAUCAAAUUUCCCAAUCCCCCUAUUCCCCAUGUUCUUAUUUAGUACCACUUCAAUCUAAUACCAGUUUACUGUUACUACACAAAACAUACCUGCAUUUAUACCACAGGUUUUCACCUGUAUGAUAAAUCUCACAGCAUUUGUUAAGGUGACAUAUUGUAAAUAGUGUCCUUGCAGGAUUGGAGGGAUUUAUAAUAAUUGAAAGGGUUUUUGUACUGUGUUCACCCAUCAUACUUGCUGCAGAAUUAAUGUUAGCAGCCCUGGCACAUCUUAGAGUUACAGAUAUGUUGGCUUAAGCAGGUCAAACCAUCUUAUCCUGUUGCUGUCAUUGGUGAGUGAGAAUUUUUCUACAUUUUUUAUGGAUAUUGUUUUGUUUCUCCCUCCUGUCAGUAAGAGGUAAAUAUUGGUAGAGCAUAUUUAUUCACAAAAUUAUGAUAUGAAUUGACAUCCAAUUAUGCAAAUGAGUCCAAUUAAUUAACCCAUAUUUGUGCAGAUGAAUUCAGUGACUUUCAAAGUGAACAACUAGCAUCACCUAAAUUUCUCUAAACAACAAAUUCUAUGAAAUAUAUGGAUUCAGAUGACUGAAAAAAUCCUAGUAUUUCAACUUUCAAAUGCCACACAUGUGUCAGUUUGCAUGAAUGUCUCCUGUUAUAAAUAUCAUUCACUAACCUUGCUUCCUUGAAACAAAUUUACUUAGGUAUUAAUUAACUCACAUUUUUAUCUUCUUAAAUCAGUGAAUAUUUGCUUCUGCCAUACAGUCUUUCAUGUUUUAUGUUCCAAAGCUGAGGAUAUAACCUGGGAAUGUGGCACAAUUACUGUGAUAGCACUUGUUUUCCUAACACACAAUAAAUGAGUCAGGGUGUAGCUCUACAGAUGUGGAACCAGUCCUGUCUCAUUGCACAUAACUCACCAUGGGACAUGUACCUCAGAGCUAUAGUUCCAACUCAAUGCAUUUGCAGUUAUUAAAAUAUUUAAAUGUUCCUUUAUAUAAUUGACAUUGCAUAUUGUAUUAGUCAGGGUUCUCUAGAAGAACAGAAUCAACAGGAAGUACAAUUAUAAAAGGAUAAUUUAUAAGAUUGGCUUAUAUUACUGGAAGGUGGAUAGUCAACAAUGGCCAUCUGCAGGUCAGACAGCUGGAAGGAAGAAUCAGUAGAUGCAAAGUCCAAGAGGUUGAAGCCUGGGCCUGAACAAGAGAGAUUAGCAGUGCUACUCUAGUUUGAAACCAAAGGUUUCUGGAGAAUCACCUUUGGAAGAGUAAAGAAGCAAGAGUCUGAUAUCCUCAGAUGAUGGUAGCAGCAAUCAAGAACCCAUUCAAGAAAAAGUCAACCAUGCAUCUGCUGCUGCUUCCUUGUUCUUCCAACUUUUAUUCCAUCCAAGUCAUCAUCAUAUUUGGUGCAGCCCAUUCUUAGGGAGGGUCUCCAUUUCAGUUGGCUAUCCCACAUGCCAACCAUUUCUAGACACAUAGACAUACCCAUAAUCCUCUUAAUCCUAGGUAUCUCUUAAUCUGAUGAAGCUGACAAUUCAAAUUAACCAUUACACAUGUAGAAUAAAUAUUUAUAAUCAAUGGGAAACUUUUUUUCCAAUAAGAAAUUCCAAAAUACUACUAGUUUAGAAGAUAGGAGGAAUAUAGAAAAACAAAUAGAAAAAAAAAACAGAACUUGAUUAAUAGAAGAACUCCACUUACUAGCUUUAGGGAAACAUGGUGGUUCAUGGCACCCUCUCUUUAAACACUGACAAUUUCAAAACCCCUCUCUGCACCUAAUCAGAGUAAGACUUUGAGACUUAACCUCUGUGUACCCAAAUUCUCCUUGUAAUCAUGAAAGUAAUCUCAGCCCCUGCUUCAUGUUGAGAAGAUUAAAAAAUCACCAUGUGCUGCAUUUAGAGCAGGGAUUUUUACACAUUUUGUGGUUUAAUUCUUAAUUAAAGCAUCAUGAAACCUGCUAGUGAGAAUGAAACCUUAAGUUCAAUUUUGCAAUUCCCACUUGAGAGAGGGCAAUGUUGGAUUUUGGUUGACAGGACACAGAUAGCCCAGAACUCCCAUUCCCCUGCAGGACCCUCUGGGAACUGGCAGGAUGGCAGCCGGUGAUGAGGCUGUAGGAAUCAUCUUCCUGUCACAGACUGUGGUUGGAGUUCUGGGCAAUUUCUGUCUUAUCUAUUACCUGUUAUUUUCUUCACUGGGUGCAGGUUAAGGCCUACAAAUUUGAUUCUUAAGCACUUGAUGUGGUCAAUUUGUUAAAUCUCCUGCAUAAAGAAAGUCCCCAGACAGGGGCACUUUUCAGUUUGGAAGUUUUCCUUGGUGAUUUUGGAUGUAAGCUGCUUUUCAAUGUUAACAGGAUGGGCAGUGAUGAGUCCAUUGUUACCAUAUGCCUUCUAAGUGUCUUCCAGGCUACCAUCUUCAGCCCAGUGAAUUCAGAUGGGCAGAGCUUUAAAGUAAAAACUCCCAGUACAUUGGUACCUCCUUAUACCUGAGCUGGAUCCUGUAACUCCUUAGCUGUGGAUCAAGCACAGGGCCAGGCACAAGUAUGGCAAGCCUUUCACCACUGAGCCACACUUGGAGUGAAUCUGAUCUCUAGUCCUGAUUAGUUGUCUGUUUAUGAAAGGUCAUCUAAUGCCACUUUUUUUUUUUAUUUUUAGUGUGUAUAUUUCUUAUGGUUGAAAUAAAACUUUGUCACAUCCUAGUGGCAUUUUGUGAUGGUGAUCCCUGCUGCUGUGGCUGUUUCCCUGACAGAAUGGGAAUCACACACAGGCUUCAUGUGUUAAUGGAUGUGCUCCUCUGUAUUUCACCUGGAGUCUAACCUUACAGUCCCUGCACACUAGUGUGCUCCAGCGCCCCAGGAGCUCAGUUCUCUGGCCACCUUGGCCUCCUGGCUCCUGCUUUAGCUCUCUUUUGUGUGCUAGUGCAGGUUGUGUGAUUGCAUCUAGCACUCCAGACAGAGGACUUUGUUGGAAUAAUGAGGAUCCAUCUUUUUAUAGAGAAGCAACUGUGUUUUUACACAGAAGCAACUGAUGAAAGGGACAGCCAGAUGCCUAAGAAGUGAGUCACAUGGCACUCACUGCUAGAUGAAACAAACUCUAGAAUGAAGAACCUGAACAAAAUAAGACCCAGCAUGAGUCAUUUACACACCGGCUAUGAGUGUUACAAAAACAUGCCAACAACAAAGAUCAAACAUAUCGGCUUAAUAUUUAUUUCCUUCUAUUUCCAAUUCUGCUCUCUUAAAAUCCAAUAUCUGUGCUGGAAAGAUGGUGCAAUCCUGUAAUCCCAGCAGUUUGCAGGGCCUGAUCCAGGAGAACAGCAAGUUUAAAGCUUGUCUCAGCAUUGUAGUGAGGUCCUAAGCAACUCAGCAAGACCUUGUCUCUGUGCCGGAUUCUCCUGAUUCUCUAGGCUCAGGUUAGAUCUCUCAGUUUGCAUCUGCUCAAUUUAUGUGCUGGUUUUUGCCUUUAAUUCAUGAAUCAAAGCACCCAGUCUAAGUUUGUGCCACUUUUACAUUGAGGUAUUUGAGUCUAAGCUUCCUGUGUGUGACUGACUAACCGUGCCUGUCCGAAUACCAGUUUGUUUGGCCAAAUAGCCUCUGGAUCUACCCAAGACGAUCUGCACCUCCAGUCCUGGGGUUUUCCAUGCCAAAUAUCCCAGAACUUACAGCUAUUUUUAGGUCUUCUGUGUGUGUGUGUUUGUGUGUAUAUGUGUGUGUGUGUGUAUAUAAUUGUACCCUCUAAAAUGGUUACAAAAAAAGAAUAUAUAUAUAUAUAUAUAUAUAUACAUAUACAAACACAUACAAGGAGUGGGCCAUACACACACACACACACACACACACACAUACAUUUCCCUCCCAUCCCACUCCAAAUUCCCACCAGGAGUUCAGCUUCUAAACAGCUCCUUAGCCUUGUCUGGUGUACUUCAACUUUCCAAGGUUCAGGACUUUCUCUCCUAUAUUGAGUAUUAGUGGACUGUUUUCCCCCCACCCUUCACUCACCUCCCAAAGAAGUAAUUUUUUUCUGAUUGUGUCCCAAGUCAUGAAACUGUGUGAACCACCACUUCCCACAAAUCCACCAUCUUUUUUUCUCUUACUCAUUCUCAAUAUUCAGAUACUUUAGCUCCAUUAUUCUAAUGUAGUCAGAAAAAAAAUAGAAUAAAACAAAGCAUCUAAGAAAUAGGAACUUCAGCAGAUUAAGAGAUGACAGGCUUUGGUUUUGUAUGCUAACACAGCAGCUCUGAUUACUGACAUUUACCCAUAGAGGCAUGCGGUGGUUAACAGGUAGUUGCAAAAGAAAACCACAGUAGCAGAGGCAAAAGACAAAGCUAUGGCGACAUUCCUUCUUUAGGCUUAGUGCAGUAAAAGACCCUAAGCUUCUUGAGCAAAGAGUCCCGAGGCUGUUAACAAGUUCGUGCCAGAAAGAAAAGUUGACUACACUCUGCGAUAGAAUUGCACCAACUCUGUUUCCUUGAUGUACCCCAAACAUGCUUAUGUAUAAGUAUGGUCCUUUGGGAACCAUCUCUUUGGCCCAUGGAACCACUAAUAAAACGUUGCUUUCAGA